rnacentral:lncRNA from 1 species
UUUGGAGGAGGACGCCGGUGAUAGAGGUUUGUUUCGUUUUGUUUUACGAUUUCCAUCUUCUCAUUUCAAUAGAAGUGUUGAUUUUGUUUACUGUACAGCGCCACUAUCAACAACAAUACAACGUGCACAUGAUUUGAACAUUUUUAAAAGAUGAACAACAAAAUAAUAUGAUUUUUUUUCUAAAGCAACAAAAUAUGAUAUCGAUAUGAUGAUAUGUCUCAUAUUCGGGCACUCUUACUAUGCAUAUUUCAGGGGAUGUGACCUGUAUAGCCACCAUUCCAGUAAAAAUGGAAGCAGAAGCUUACUUCUUGGCAAAGGAGGAUGGAGUUGUUGCAGGAAUUGCUCUUGCUGAGAUGAUAUUCAAGGAGGUGGAUCCUUCUUUGAC